GCGGGUUUGGUCCAGAGGUUGGGCACCGGCUUUCCAGGCUGGCCAGGUUGGUUCGAGUCCAACAGCCCGCUCCA
rnacentral:tRNA from 1 species